rnacentral:rRNA from 1 species
GGUUUUUAGAAAUAAUUAAAAAUCUGGCCUGCUCAAUGCUAUAGUAAAUAGCCGCGGUAUUAUGACCGUGCAAAGGUAGCAUAAUCAUUUGUCUUUUAAUUGAAGACUGGAAUGAAAGGUUAAACUAUGUAAUUUUGUCUUAUGAUAAUAUUUUGAAAUUUAUAUUUUAGUAAAAAAGCUAAAAUAUUUCUCAAAGACGAGAAGACCCUAUCAAGCUUUACAAUAAAAAUUUAUUUUCAAAUUAAAUAAAAUAUUGUUUUGCUGGGGCAGCAAAUAAAAAGUUUUUAUUUUCAUAUUGUGAUAAAUAAAUCUUGAAAAAUCAAAAAGUUUUUAAAUAAAAAUAAGUUACUGUAGGGAUAACAGCAUAAUUUUUUUAAAGAGUUCUUAUCAUCAAAAAAGUUUGUGACCUCGAUGUUGGAUUAAGAGUCCUAAUUCAUGCAAUAAUGAAAAAAGGAAGUCUGUUCGACUUUUAAAUUCUUCCA